CCGAGUGACCCUGGGGGGUGGCGCAGCAGAGGGGAGGACCGCCAUGGAGGCUCUCGGCUGGCGCGUCUCCUUGGUGCCACGGUCGCCACGACGGGGCCACGCCGGGCACCCCUAGUCGGCUCGCUAAGCCUCGCCUUCCCCUGUGAGUAGCCUGUGUUUGCUGUUCUUAUCCAUCAAAGCGCACUGUGAAAGACAGCCCAGGAAAAGCAUGGCGGCGAUGGAGAGCAGGGGCUUUGGGGAUCGGACUCAGUAGCUCAAGACUUGGCUCUGCCACUUAAUAAAUGUCUCAUCCCAGGCAAGUGAGUCACAGAGCCACAUUGUUUUCUCGGCGUCCUGAUCUGUAAAAUGGGAACAAUACCCACCUGAAGAGGAUACACAAGGUGCAUAUUUAAG